CCUACGGGGGGCAGCAGUGGGGAAUAUUGGGCAAUGGGCGCAAGCCUGACGCAGCAACGCCGCGUGAAGGAAGAAGGCUUUCGGGUUGUAAACUUCUAUUCUCAGGGACGAAGCAAGCGACGGUACCUGAGGAAUCAGCCACGGCUAACUACGUGCCAGCAGCCGCGGUAAGACGUAGGGGGCAAGCGUUAUCCGGAUUUACUGGGUGUAAAGGGCGUGUAGGCGGGGACGCAAGUCAGAUGUGAAAACCACGGGCUCAACCUGUGGCCUGCAUUUGAAACUGUGUUUCUGGAGUAUUGGAGAGGCAGACGGAAGUCCUAGUGUAGCGGUGAAAUGCGUAGAUAUUAGGAGGAACACCAGUGGCGAAGGCGGUCUGCUGGACAGCAACUGACGCUGAGGCGCGAAAGCGUGGGGAGCAAACAGGAUUAGAUACCCUGGUAGUC
rnacentral:rRNA from 1 species